AGCAGCCGCGGUAAUUCCAGCUCCAAUAGCGUAUAUUAAAGUUGUUGCAGUUAAAAAGCUCGUAGUUGAAUUUCGGGAUCAAUAUAUCGGUCGUGCCAUCGGUACGUACUGGUAUCAUUGGUUUCUCCUUUCUGACGAACCAUGAUGUCAUUAAUUUGGUGUUAUGGGAAGUUAGGACUGUUACUUUGAAAAAAUUAGAGUGUUUAAAGCAGGCUUUAGCUUGAAUACAUUAGCAUGGAAUAAUGAAAUAGGACGUUCGAACCUAUUUUGUUGGUUUCUAGGAUCAACGUAAUGAUUAAUAGGGAUAGUUGGGGGCAUUAGUAUUCAAUUGUCAGAGGUGAAAUUCUUGGAUUUAUUGAAGACUAACUACUGCGAAAGCAUUUGCCAAGGAUGUUUUCAUUAAUCAAGAACGAAAGUUAGGGGAUCGAAGACGAUCAGAUACCGUCGUAGUCUUAACCAUAAACUAUGCCGACUAGGGAUCGGAUGAUGUUAAUUUUUUAAUGACUCAUUCGGCGCCUUACG
rnacentral:rRNA from 1 species